AAUAGAUACCCCGGUAGUCCACGCCGUAAACGUUGGGCACUAGGUGUGGGGAGCCGUCAACGCUCUCUGUGCCGUAGCUAACGCAUUAAGUGCCCCGCCUGGGGAGUACGGCCGCAAGGCUAAAACUCAAAGGAAUUGACGGGGGGCCCGCACAAGCGGCGGAGCAUGUUGCUUAAUUCGAGGCAACGCGAAGAACCUUACCUAGGUUGAACUAUGCAGGAAAAGCCACAGAGAUGUGGUGUCCUUCGGGGCCUGCGAUAGGUGGUGCAUGGCUGUCGUCAGCUCGUGUCGUGAGAUGUUGGGUUAAGUCCCGCAACGAGCGCAACCCUUGUCCUAUGUUGCCAGCGGGUAAAGCCGGGGACUCGUAGGAGACUGCCGGGGUCAACUCGGAGGAAGGUGGGGACGACGUCAAGUCAUCAUGCCCCUUAUGUCUAGGGCUGCAAACAUGCUACAAUGGCCGGUACAGAGGGCUGCGAAACCGCGAGGUCGAGCGAAUCCCAAAAAGCCGGUCUCAGUUCGGAUUGAAGUCUGCAACUCGACUU
rnacentral:rRNA from 1 species